rnacentral:rRNA from 1 species
CCUACGGGGGGCAGCAGUAGGGAAUCUUUCACAAUGGGCGAAAGCCUGAUGGAGCAACGCCGCGUGCAGGAUGAAGGCCUUCGGGUUGUAAACUGCUUUUAUAAGCGAGAAAUAUGAUGGUAACUUAUGAAUAAGGAUCGGCUAACUACGUGCCAGCAGCCGCGGUCAUACGUAGGAUCCGAGCAUUAUCCGGGGUGACUGGGUGUAAAGAGUUGCGUAGGUGGCAUAAUAAGUAGCUAGUGAAAUCUGGUGGCUCAACCAUUCAGACUAUUAGCUAAACUGUUAAGCUCGAGACCGUUAGGGGUAACUGGAAUUUCUAGUGUAGGAGUGAAAUCCGUAGAUAUUAGAAGGAACACCAAUAGCGUAGGCAGGUUGCUGGGACGGUUCUGACACUAAGGCACGAAAGCGUAGGGAGCAAACGGGAUUAGAUACCCCUGUAGUC